rnacentral:lncRNA from 1 species
CUCUACUGCUGUGUGUCUGCGUGUCCUCAAAGCCGACCGUACGACCAGGCCCACUGACUGACCCUCGGCCUGAGACAGUCCGGGGAGGAUAGGAAGGAAAACAGCCCCAACAAAGACUCUCACAUGGCUGGAGAGAAAAAGAGAGGGAGCUAAUGGAGGAAAAAACACAGCCUCCCAAUCCAUCUGCUGAGUAAGGUUCACCAGCUGACCUCUGUCAAGACACCCAUGUCGACUGGAUUCCCACUGUAGUAGCAUCAGUUUCUACUACUACUACUUUGUCCUUUUCCAGAUAUGAAAGGAGAUAUCCCCCAGUUAGACAAAGUGGUUGUCAUAUGCUGUGUCUUGGUCAAUCUGAAUGAUUCUGUUGUGCCAUUUGGGUAGAGAUCACCUUCACCUUGUCGUCAUGACAAAAGUGUCCCCUUAAACCUAAUGAAGGUUGUAGGAAUAACUGCUGAUUAAACAGAAUCAGUUUCACAGUAAUGUAUUCAUGAAGAUAUGUAUGAAUAUAUUAAAUGUAAUUUGGAACAACAUGUAAAAUACUAUUGUUUAAGAUAUUGUAAACAUGCUGUACUUCAACAAUAGACUAUAU